GUGCUUGCUUCAGCAGCACAUAUACUAAAAGACUAGCAGAGAAGACUAGCAUGGCCCCUGCGCAAGGAUGACAAGCAAAUUCGUGAAGUGUUUCAUGUUUUA